UACGUAGGUGACCAGCGUUGUCCGGAUUUACUGGGCGUAAAGAGCGCGCAGGCGGCCGAGCAAGUCGAGUGUGAAAGCCCCGGGCUUAACUUGGGAAUUGCGCUCGAAACUACUUGGCUGGAGUGUGGCAGAGGAAGGUGGAAUUCCAGGUGUAGCGGUGAAAUGCGUAGAGAUCUGGAGGAACACCGAUGGCGAAGGCAGCCUUCUGGGCCAACACUGACGCUCAUGCACGAAAGCGUGGGGAGCAAACAGG
rnacentral:rRNA from 1 species